rnacentral:rRNA from 1 species
AAGCGGUGGAUGAUGUGGUUUAAUCGAUGCAACGCGAAAACCUUACCACCUUUGACAUGGCAGGAAUCCCGAAGAGAUUUGGGAGUGCUCGAAAGAGAACCUGCACACAGGUGCUGCAUGGCUGUCGUCAGCUCGUGUCGUGAGAUGUUGGGUUAAGUCCCGCAACGAGCGCAACCCUUGCCAUUAGUUGCUACGAAAGGGCACUCUAAUGGGACUGCCGGUGACAAACCGGGAGGAAGGUGGGGAUGGCGUCAAGUCCUCAUGGCCCUUAUAGGUGGGGCUACACACGUCAUACAAUGGCCGGUACAGAGGGUAGCCAACCCGCGAGGGGGAGCCAAUCCCACAAAGCCGGUCGUAGUCCGGAUCGCAGUCUGCAACUCGACUGCGUGAAGUCGGAAUCGCUAGUAAUCGCGGAUCAGCAUGUCGCGGUGAAUACGUUCCCGGGUCUU